GACUCAUCACUGGGCAAAGUGCCUAGUCUGAAGAACUCAGCUGUGAAUGCAUCAUCUUUAUCAAGUUCACCCCUCUAAGGUUGAGAGAACCUCUCAGAAGGAGUAGAGAGAAUUUAGGAGCAGGAGGCUAUGGAUGAGAGCAAGAAAAUGCUGAUUUCUGGAUGUUGCAAGCAUCAAUUCACAGCAGCUAUGGUUUUGUACAAAAGACUUGCACAAGAUCUAGCAGUCAAAAUUCCCAAAUGGAUGAGAGAAGGGCCCCAAAGCUGCACCAAUCCAAGACAAUGUGUUGAAAGUUAAUUGGGAGAGGCAAUUUCCUUUUGGAAAUGUGUGGCCUUUCGUAAUUUGCUAUGUCACACAUAGUGGACGGGCACACAUCCAGGCCCAUGUGGGAAGCAUUAGUUAGACUCUAUAUAACAACAACAAGAACAAAAAUAGAGGACAUGAAAUUGGAAUCAAGCUUGGUUUUCCUGUUGUAACCUUCUCCUACAAGAGUCUGCUUACUGAGAUAUGACUGAUAUGGCUGACACAGUGGAUACUUUCAGGCUUGAAACAGAAAGACAGCAUGAGAACUGGGAGAGCUGAGAACAACUGUUGAACCAUGGAUGUAAUGAUCCCCUUCUUUCCAUCAGCAACAAUGGCAAAUCCUCUGUGCUGAAGACCACAUUUUCUCCCUGGAAAAAUGGAAAUGUUACUGUUUAGACACAGAUCCCUGAAAAAUGGAAUUUUAAUGCAUGUACAUCACAGAUUGUUGGUUUUCUACCCAAAAGCACUGUCCAUGAUUUCAAUAACAACAGGAGUGCAAACUGCAUGCCCCAGCUUGCCCAGAAAGUCAGUGUGGCCAUGUGUAAUGCACAAAAGUGCUGUGAAACAUCUCAAAGGGAUAAGCAUGUGGUUUGCCUGCCUUGUGACUCUGUGUCUCACAAUGGGAGUAACACAGCUUCAGCAAGCAAGUCACGGACAUGAUCACAGCACUGCCGUCCAGGACCUCAAGAUGUGCCUCAGAGAACUGCAGAAUCAGUGUCAUCACAGACAUCAUUAGUGACUGCGGCUGCUGCUGCUGCUGCUGCUGCAAAUCCUUGGACUGUGUAGGAGACAUGCAAGACAUUAUGUGUGGUGAACACCAGAACCGUGCUGGAAAUACAUCUUUGCACCAGACUGACAGAUGGUUUGUCAUAGUGCAGCAUUCCAGAAGACAGUAUGGCAAUAAGGAAGAUGCUUAGGAACUAAAUUAAUGACAACUCUUAGGACAGAAAGAAGGGAGGAAGAAGGAAUGGGAGAGAAGAAAGGAAGAAUAAAGGAAGGAAGAUAUAAAAAAUGAAGAAAAAG
rnacentral:lncRNA from 1 species